rnacentral:rRNA from 1 species
GACGGAAGGUGCAAGCGUUGCUCGGAAUCACUGGGCGUAAAGGGUGCGUAGGCGGCCGCGCAAGUCUGGCGUGAAAGCCCCGGGCUCAGCCCGGGAAGGGCGCUCGAAACGGCGCGGCUCGAGUGCCGGAGGGGAGAGUGGAAUUCCUGGUGUAGCGGUGAAAUGCGCAGAUAUCAGGAAGAACACCUAUGGCGAAAGCAGCUCUCUGGGACGGUACUGACGCUGAGACGCGAAAGCGUGGGGAGCGAACAGG